CUACGGGGGGCACCAGUGGGGAAUAUUGCACAAUGGAGGAAACUCUGAUGCAGCAACGCCGCGUGGAGGAUGACACUUUUCGGAGCGUAAACUCCUUUUAUAUAGGAAGAAGAUGACGGUACUAUAUGAAUAAGCGCCGGCUAACUCCGUGCCAGCAGCCGCGGUAACACGGAGGGCGCAAGCGUUACUCGGAAUCACUGGGCGUAAAGAGCGUGUAGGCGGAUUAAAAAGUCAGAAGUGAAAUCCUAUAGCUUAACUAUAGAACUGCUUCUGAAACUCUUAAUCUAGAAUAUGGGAGAGGUAGAUGGAAUUUCUGGUGUAGGGGUAAAAUCCGUAGAGAUCAGAAGGAAUACCGAUUGCGAAGGCGAUCUACUAGAACAUUAUUGACGCUGAGACGCGAAAGCGUGGGGAGCAAACAGGAUUAGAUACCUUCGUAGUC
rnacentral:rRNA from 1 species